GAUGAACGCUGGCGGCGUGCUUAACACAUGCAAGUCGAACGGUGAAGGCGGAGCUUGCUCUGCUGGAUCAGUGGCGAACGGGUGAGUAACACGUGAGCAAUCUGCCCCUGACUCUGGGAUAGGCGCUGGAAACGGCGUCUAAUACUGGAUACGAGCUGCGAAGGCAUCUUCAGCAGCUGGAAAGAAUUUCGGUCAGGGAUGAGCUCGCGGCCUAUCAGCUUGUUGGUGAGGUAAUGGCUCACCAAGGCGUCGACGGGUAGCCGGCCUGAGAGGGUGACCGGCCACACUGGGACUGAGACACGGCCCAGACUCCUACGGGAGGCAGCAGUGGGGAAUAUUGCACAAUGGGCGAAAGCCUGAUGCAGCAACGCCGCGUGAGGGACGACGGCCUUCGGGUUGUAAACCUCUUUUAGCAGGGAAGAAGCGAAAGUGACGGUACCUGCAGAAAAAGCGCCGGCUAACUACGUG
rnacentral:rRNA from 1 species